rnacentral:rRNA from 1 species
UACGUAGGGUGCGAGCGUUGUUCGGAAUCACUGGGCGUAAAGGGCGCGUAGGCGGCCGAUCAAGUCGGGGGUGAAAGCCUGUGGCUCAACCACAGAAUUGCCUUCGAUACUGUUUGGCUUGAGACCGGAAGAGGUAAGUGGAACUGCGAGUGUAGAGGUGAAAUUCGUAGAUAUUCGGAAGAACACCAGUGGCGAAGGCGGCUCACUGGCCCGGUACUGACGCUGAUGUGCGAAAGCGUGGGGAGCAAACAGG